GGGGUCGUGGCGGCGGCUUACCAUGCAAGUCGAGCGGGGAAGGGUAGCUUGCUACCUAACCUAGCGGCGGACGGGUGAGUAAUGCUUAGGAAUCUGCCUAUUAGUGGGGGACAACAUUCCGAAAGGAAUGCUAAUACCGCAUACGCCCUACGGGGGAAGGCAGGGGAUCUUCGGACCUUGCGCUAAUAGAUGAGCCUAAGUCAGAUUAGCUAGUUGGUGGGGUAAAGGCCUACCAAGGCGACGAUCUGUAGCGGGUCUGAGAGGAUGAUCCGCCACACUGGGACUGAGACACGGCCCAGACUCCUACGGGAGGCAGCAGUGGGGAAUAUUGGACAAUGGGCGCAAGCCUGAUCCAGCCAUGCCGCGUGUGUGAAGAAGGCCUUUUGGUUGUAAAGCACUUUAAGCGAGGAGGAGGCUACCGAGAUUAAUACUCUUGGAUAGUGGACGUUACUCGCAGAAUAAGCACCGGCUAACUCUGUGCCAGCAGCCGCGGUAAUACAGAGGGUGCGAGCGUUAAUCGGAUUUACUGGGCGUAAAGCGUGCGUAGGCGGCUUUUUAAGUCGGAUGUGAAAUCCCUGAGCUUAACUUAGGAAUUGCAUUUGAUACUGGGAAGCUAGAGUAUGGGAGAGGAUGGUAGAAUUCCAGGUGUAGCGGUGAAAUGCGUAGAGAUCUGGAGGAAUACCGAUGGCGAAGGCAGCCAUCUGGCCUAAUACUGACGCUGAGGUACGAAAGCAUGGGGAGCAAACAGGAUUAGAUACCCUGAUAGUCCAUGCCGUAAACGAUGUCUACUAGCCGUUGGGGCCUUUGAGGCUUUAGUGGCGCAGCUAACGCGAUAAGUAGACCGCCUGGGGAGUACGGUCGCAAGACUAAAACUCAAAUGAAUUGACGGGGGCCCGCACAAGCGGUGGAGCAUGUGGUUUAAUUCGAUGCAACGCGAAGAACCUCACCUGGUCUUGACUAGUAAGAACUUUCCAGAGAUGGAUUGGUGCCUUCG
rnacentral:rRNA from 1 species